rnacentral:lncRNA from 1 species
AUGGCCGCCUCCAGCCAGGGGGGCCAGGCUGUCCCCACCUCAUCAGCACUCCCUCCACAGCCCGGGCCUGUCACCAGGAGCCCCGGGAAGCAUCCCCUUGGAGAGGCGCCUGAUGGACCUGUCACCACAGUGCCAUCCCCCCGGCCGGCCCCUCACACUCGCGGGGUAAUCUGCUUUCACCGGGAACAUUGUCCUUCAGCCUCCCCAGCUCGGCUCAGAGCAGGGAGGGCGGGGCGCGCAGGGCUGAGAAGCUGCUUUCUUCACCGAACAAAUGACCUUGGGCCAGGAGCCGGAACAGCCUGGAGAGAAUUCAAACAGCCUGGGCCCGGCAGCCCUGGGCUCGCAGCCCCUCUUCCGCAGGCAUCCCAGACAUCUUGGGGUUCCUACACAUGGCCAGGCCAGGAAAUGACCAUGGGGCUGGAGGCUCCUGGAGAGCAGUCGACGUGCCGUCCGCACCCAGUGCCCCCCUCCAAGCCCCCACACUGCCAGCCUCAGAAAACAUGGAUGGAAGGACUGGGAUGCAGAGAGCUGUUCCCAUCUGUCAGAAUGCUGAUGUGGGCUCGUCUCCUCCCGACAAGGCAGAAUGAUGAUAAGGUUAUUUUUUAAUAUCAGGGAUAUUAAUACUUCUCUUUCUGAUAAUGAGCCAUGGCCUGCUCCCUCCUGCUCCCUGGGGGAGGUCCUUGGGUUGGGCUGGGGGAGGCAGGGGGUGCGUGGGGGCAAGGCUGAGAUGCAGGAGGGCCUACUGCGCGCCACGAACCCUUUCAAUCUUCACAAUAUGAGGGCAGGUGGCGGUGUCCCCGUUGGACAGGUCUGGGCCUGAGGCUCGGAGAGGGGAAGCCAGUUCCCGAAGCCACAGGGCAAGCGGCAAGGGUCAGGCUGGCGGGGCGGGGGGGGGGGUCCCAGCCAGGUGUGACUCCAGAGUCCGAGCCCUUUGCUGCCUCCCAACACAUUUAGAGGCUUUUUCCCACCUGCUGCCAGGAGCCCCAAUAUCCUGGGACCCCAUAGGGAGGGGCCCUGCUCCAGCCCAUGGUCAGGCUGAGAGCUCAGGCCCAGUGUGGCCCUGGCCCCAGGCCUGGCCCGACGAUCCAGCCUUCCAGCAGGGUGUGAGGCCCUCCGACCCCAUACUUAGCAGAACCUCCCUGCCCCGUCCCCUGUGGGUGCCCGGCGGUGGUCUCUCCUGGGGGCCAUGAGCUCCUCUACCUUCCCCCAGAAGCCUGAGGAGCUUAGGGAGGGUCAGCACACCCACCGGGUACCCCACAGAUCAGUAGCCAAGUGGCAUCUGCUCUCUCCCUCCCUGCGCGACCAGCCCCACGUUCUGCACUUUCCCUUCUGAGCACCCACCCCUCUCCCCCCUUCCAAUGCCUCACGACUAAGCAAGUGGGCUCUGGAAGCACAGAUCUGAGUUCAAAUCCCCAGCCUGCCACUCAGUGGCUGUGGCUUCUUGGGCAAAUAUGUACCUCCCCCACCCCCCAUUAUUCUCGUUUUAAAGUAUAGAUAAUAAUAGAAUUUACGUCAAAGGGCUGUCGUUAAGAUUAACAGGCGUAGUGAAUACUGUGCCUUUGGAGACCUUCCCCCAGGCUGAGCAGCGCCCCAGAGAGGUAGUGAGAUUUGCCUAAAGUCACAUGGGCUGUUAGUAGCCGAGAGAAUCUAGCACCAGCUCCAGGCCUGGGCCAGGCCUCCAAAGGGAGCCAGGGACAAGGCAAAAUCCUUACAGAGGGCGGCUCAUGUGGCAGAUGCUGAAGGCUUGGUGUCCAGCAAGAGCAGAGGCAGUCCCUGUUCUCACAGGACAGUGGCUCGAAUCAAGGAACCACACGUGCAGGUAAGAUUCCAAACUGAGCCAAGGGUGCUGAUGGAGAUGGGCAAGGGUCUGUGAGAGCACCGACCCGGGCAUGGCUCCCUGAGGAUGAACAGGGGGUACAGAAGUAGGAGAAUGUUCCAGAAGAGGGACCGGAGGACAAAGUGUGUGUGAGAGGGUGCAGUACCUUCAAGAAAGCAGAAAGGGAAUUGCUGGUGCCUGGACUGGACUGGGCCUUGCAGGUAUGAUAAGGACUUGGGUCUUUAUCCAGAGAGAAGAGUGGAAGGCUCUAGAAGGCUCUAUUCAGGGGAGGAGAAGGUGUGGGGCAACGGCUGACCAUGAUCUUUGGCAGUGAAUGGCCUUCUGGCUGGGGUGUGGUGCAAGGCUGAAGGGACCCAGGGAGUGCACCCGGAGGCCAGUCACCCUGGUGAGAGGUGAUGGGGGCUCAGACUGGGCUGGUGGCCAUGGCGAGGAGCAGAACCCAUCCCAGAUGGGUUCAAGGUAGGUUUUGGUGGUAAAAUGAAAGGAUUUGGGAUGUCCUGGAUACUCGGCUGAUGGAGGAGACAAAGUUCAGUGUCCUAACUUGCACAGCUGGGUAGACGGUAAUGCUGGCCGACCCCAGGCACAGGGCAAAGAGCCGGGGUUGUGGGUCGGAGGGUGGGGGGUGGGGGACAGUGGAGGUGGUAAGAGUUGAGGAGGAAUGGAGAGAGAAAGCAGUGAAGUCUACAGAAUACACAAUUCCUUCAAGAAGUUUCCUGGGAGUGGGGAGGAGAGAGGGGGACAGCAUAGGCCAGGGGAGUGAGGAACAAAGGGAGGGUGUGGUUUGGUUUUCAGGGCAGAAAAGCCUCGUGCACCAGCCUGGUCCCCGGAGGCCUACCCCAGUGUGGUCCUCUUUCUACCCGGUUCCGCGGCGCGGGUGCUCCAAACUGUGGAAGUGAUUGAUUAUAUGUAAACAGGAGGAAGCAAUUAGUCUGUGCAUGCCCAGCCAUUAAUAAGCCUCUUAGGUAUUUAUAACAACACCUCAUUUACCCUCCAGCCUGAGAACAAAUAUCCUGAGAACAGCCAGAGGUACCGGAGGAGACCCCCGGGCAGCCCCGUCCCGACACUAAGCCACUAAGCGGGCUUCACUAACAGGGAGGUCCCCUGCUUAGAGCCCACGGAGUCUUACUCUGCAUACAAUUCUAAUAGCUUGCGUGGUUUUUCGGUCCACAUUAGAAGCAGGAGGCAGCUGGGGACUGUCGCAGGCAGGAGCCCAGCAGCAGCGGGGAGCCAGGGAAGACAGGGUCACCCUAGGAAAGCAGAGAAGCCCGGGGUCCCGUGGCCCCCAAGGCCAGCUGGUCCGCCACCGGUGCUCCUGCAGUCGCCUCUGUCCGACGCUGUCCCACCACCAGUGGCUUCAAUGAACUCAUCUUGAAGUCCUUUUCCACAUCAAUAUUCAAUGAUUCUUUGUUCACCGUGAUGAUUCUGAGCCGCCGAGCAAGGGCUAAAUUACAUUCAGUAUUUUCUGCUUCAAGAGGACUUUUUUUUUUUUUCGGUGAAAUAUUUUAAAUUGUAAAUUUUAUUUUAAGUUUUCCUACAGUUUCUGAAAUAUUCCCUUACGUGGAAAGGGAUUUUGUAAUUGCCUAUUUAAUUAUCUGCUUCCCCGGUAGGCUGAGGCUCCGUGAGAACGAGGACCGCGUCCGUGUGGUCCACCACCUUCAUCCCAGCACCUGGCCCGGCGCCCCGGGACGGGCUCGAUACGGCCUUCUUGAAUUAGUGAAUUGAUCAGUAAAUUAAUAUUGCGUACCAGGCAACACUCACUCAACAAAUAUAUUAUUACGUUCAAUUUGGCCUCUGUUCUUGCUACUUUUUUUAAUACAGCUACCAGGAAAAAAAAAGUGAAUUACGAAUGUGGCGCACGCUCCAUCUCCGUCUGACAGGUUUGUCUUAGGCAUUCCUGCCCUGGCUCCAGAGGCA